GGCAGCUCCUUACACAGCAGCCCUGCUUGCUUUUCUGUCCUGACCAUCGUUAGUGGAAACUAGAAGGCUCUAGUGGCCACAGGGGUUUUCCAGGGCUGAGUGCAUGGCUCUAGCUGAUACUCAGGACCCUCCCUGGGGACUUGCUGGGCCAGCACACCUGCAGGUGCUUCACAGGCCGGGAGCCGGCUCGAGAGGCUUGCACAGAUCCAGGCCAGGUGGCCUCUCUCCUGUCCCGGCUCCUGCUUUAUUUGCCGUGUGCCAGCCUGCAAGCUCCCUGCGGGCAAGGCCUGCUCACAGCUAUGUUGCCUGCCAGAGAGCAGGCUCUGUGCAUGUUUCCCGACCUGAUGCUUUCUUCCUCCUUCCCCUUCUGGUCUCUGCUUCUGAACCUGUCCUCAUGUGUGGUCUUCCUGCCCUGGCCUGGUGCCCCUGAAAUGUUCCAGUCAGCUGGCCUGCUCCUUAUAUGGACACUGCCCUCCAACUGUGCCUGAGCGGAGAGAGUAGGCCUGCACCCCCGGCCCAGGUGCUGUCCCUCCUUUCCUGGAGCCCGGCCCACACCAGCUUCAGGGCACACUUGCCCUGUCUUCCCACAGUGAUCCGGUCAUAGUAUUGCUUCCUUUGAUAUUUCUGGCAUUGACCUGAGUCAGGGAGCUUGGGUGUCUGUGCUCAGGGGUUUUGCUCAAGAGGCCUGCCCUCCUAUUCUGCCAGGGCCCAGCUUCGGGGAGGCGGGGGCGGUUCCUCGAGAGGCCAGGGUCUCCAGUUUUCAGGAGGGCAUGCUGUGUGGGUGUCGCCUUUGCCAUUGUGAUGUGGCCUCAGGAGGGAGGGAGGCGACCCCGGGGGCCCAGCCGGGGCUGAGCUGGCGGGUCCUUCAGGUUCCCAGGAGCUACACUCAGAGGAAGUACAACCCCGUGUUGUAUGCUGAUGAAUUAAGUCCCAAGGCCACAGCCUUGUUACUGUGGAGAGGUGAACUCAGGGAUGUGAGCACACACAGGAAGAUGUGUGGGGCUCUGUGGAAGGAAGAGAAACCGAGGAAGACUUCCUAGAGGAGGAGAGCAGUGAGCUGAGACGUGAAAUUUAGGGAAACACGCUGUGGGGACAGUGAGACUCUCGUUACUGGAGAAUGCCGAUGAGUCGUAAAGUGUGUGGAAAUGCACGAGGAGUUUCUGGAACUAGACAUUUGCGUUCAAUCAUGGUUCUGCUGUGUGACUAUGGGUUAGCCACAUAAGUUCGCUGAGUUUUUGUCUCUUCAUCUGUAAAACUGGGUCAUAAUACACAGUGCUGACACAUGA